AACGAACGCUGGCGGCAGGCCUAACACAUGCAAGUCGAACGAAGGCCCUCUUCGGAGGUGUCCUUAGUGGCGGACGGGUGAGUAACACGUGGGAACCUACCUAGCAGUACGGAAUAACUG
rnacentral:rRNA from 1 species